rnacentral:rRNA from 1 species
UACGUAGGCAGCGAGCGUUGUUCGGAAUUACUGGGCGUAAAGAGUGUGUAGGCGGCGCUCUAAGUUCGGUGUGAAAUCUCUCGGCUUAACUGGGAGGGUGCGCCGGAAACUGGAGUGCUCGAACGUGGGAGAGGAAAGCGGAAUUCCAGGUGUAGCGGUGAAAUGCGUAGAUAUCUGGAGGAACACCGGUGGCGAAGGCGGCAUCCUGGACCAAUUCUGACGCUGAGUGAGCGAAAGCCAGGGAGCAAACGGG